rnacentral:rRNA from 1 species
AAUAUUGGACAUGGGGCGAGAGGGUGAUCCAGCCAGGCCGUGAUUGUGAAGUAUGUCUUCGGUUUGUAAAGCACUUUACGUUGAGAGGUAUGGCAGUAAGUUAAGACCUUGCUGUUUUGACGUUACCGACAGCAGAUGCUUCGGAUCACGUCGUGCUAGCUGCGGCGGUAAUACGAAGGGUGCAAGCGUUAAUCGGAAUUACUGGGCGUAAAGCGCGCGUAGGUGGUUUGUUAAGUUGGAAGUGAAAGCCCCGGGCUCAACCUGGGAACUGCUUUCAAAACUGGCAAGCUAGAGUAUGGCAGAGGGUGGUGGAAUUUCCUGUGUAGCGGUGAAAUGCGUAGAUAUAGGAAGGAACACCAGUGGCGAAGGCGACCACCUGGACUAAUACUGACACUGAGGUGCGAAAGCGUGGGGAGCAAACAG